UGGGGAAUAUUGCACAAUGGGCGCAAGCCUGAUGCAGCCAUGCCGCGUGUGUGAAGAAGGCCUUCGGGUUGUAAAGCACUUUCAGCGAGGAGGAAGGUGGUGAGCUUAAUACGCUCAUCAAUUGACGUUACUCGCAGAAGAAGCACCGGCUAACUCCGUGCCAGCAGCCGCGGUAAUACGGAGGGUGCAAGCGUUAAUCGGAAUUACUGGGCGUAAAGCGCACGCAGGCGGUUUGUUAAGUCAGAUGUGAAAUCCCCGGGCUCAACCUGGGAACUGCAUUUGAAACUGGCAAGCUAGAGUCUCGUAGAGGGGGGUAGAAUUCCAGGUGUAGCGGUGAAAUGCGUAGAGAUCUGGAGGAAUACCGGUGGCGAAGGCGGCCCCCUGGACGAAGACUGACGCUCAGGUGCGAAAGCGUGGGGCAGCAAACAGGAUUAGAUACCCUGGUAGUCCACGCUGUAAAACGAUGUCGAUUUGGAGGUUGUGCCCUUGAGGCGUGGCUUCCGGAGCUAACGCGUUAAAUCGACCGCCUGGGGAGUACGGCCGCAAGGUUAAAACUUAAAUGAAUUGACGGGUCUAGCUG
rnacentral:rRNA from 1 species